UACGUAGGCAGCGAGCGUUGUUCGGAGUUACUGGGCGUAAAGGGUGUGUAGGCGGUUCUUUAAGUUUGGUGUGAAAUCUCCCGGCUCAACCGGGAGGGUGCGCCGAAUACUGAGGGACUUGGAGUGCGGGAGAGGAAAGUGGAAUUCCUGGUGUAGCGGUGAAAUGCGUAGAUAUCAGGAGGAACACCGGUGGUGUAGACGGCUUUCUGGACCGUAACUGACGCUGAGACACGAAAGCGUGGGUAGCAAACAGG
rnacentral:rRNA from 1 species